CUGAUUCAGCCCCUGGUCUGGAAACUUCCUUAUGCCCAGAGUGUGGCUCUAAAAUGAAAAAAAAAAAAAAAAACUGCCUGGGAAUUCUCUUGUUUCGCAGCAGAGUAGGAAUCCAGCACUGUCACCGCAGCAGCUUGGGUCACUGCUGCAGCAUAAGGUCAACCCCUGGCCCAGGAACGUAUACAUGCCACAGGCAUGGCUGAAAAACAAAACAAAAAAAGAUACUGCCUGUAUUUUUUUCUAAGAGUUUUAUGGUUUCAGCUCUUAUCUUUGGUGUGUCUAUUAUAGCAGCUGGAACAGCCUAAGACACCACAGGACCGUUUUCUCAUGUGCACAUCACAUUCGGUGUGCCUGGGUGGAAGUCUUUUGAGAAGGAUGCUGUGGGAAUGGGAAGAUACUGAGGUGUUUUCAGUUUCAGGAAUGGGUGGCUUUGUGGAGAGGGAAGUGGAGUGGUUGUGGUGACUUAGAGUUCUCUUUGCUGUGCUGUCCCCCCAGCAGACUCAGUUGUACAGAGGCGCAGUGAAAAGAGCAGAAUCAUCAUUUGUAGCUUCCAUGAGAAGGAACGCAGCCUUUUUGGAGGAGUAAUAUUUGCAAACGUGCGCAGAACUUGAGAAGUAUUCCCUGCAGAGCUGCGGUUCUUCAGGACUCUGGACAGCACAGAUCCUGAGACAGAGUCUGCGCUCAACAUCUGUUGAAUUGGAGACAGAGACCCAAGGAUCGUAGAGUUUAUUUGUUCUUUUCCUCGAGGAAUAAGCUGAACAUCCUCAGGCAGAGAAGACAGCCGUGAGGAUGCCAGAAUACGAUCGUCCUGGACCCAGGAAUCCUCAUUUACCUAGCCGGGUCUGCUUGAGGAGACAGACCGUCUGAUCUACCUCCGGGCCCCCCCCCGUAAACAGCAUGACACCUGCCGCAUACACACAAGGUCCCAGGUCAUGGAAGCUCAGUGGGCAAGCCGUGUCCCGGGGUGACCCAAACAGAGAGUUAUUUCAAGAUGAAAAGAGCCAACAUCUGGGGAAGGAGAACCCACACAUUCCACAACAUCCCUGCCCCCGAUGUCCCUAAAACUGUCACCACGAGCAUCACCCUGGGUGUUUGUGUUCUUAUCACAACAGGUGUUACAAGUGUGUAUUAUCCAGCUGUUGGGCAGCUUACUAAGGUCUCAGGGGACCACGCAUUGGAGAGGCCACCAGGGAGGGUGACGGGGUGGGACUGAGACCAGCCUAGGGUUGCCAGAUGGAGAGAAUAAAAAUGCCGGGUGCCCGGUUGCAUUUGAAUUUCAGCUCUAAGCAACUCAUGAUCUUAGUAGAAGUAUAUCCAUGCAACCUCUGAACCUCUGGGACAUACUGAUACUAAAAAAAAAAAAA